CCCCAGUCUUUAGCCGGAAUUUGGUCAACUUUGUGAAACAUCCGUGGCUCUGGUUCGGGAUGUUCGUUUGGUUCAAGAAUAGUCUCCUCGAGUAAUGGCUCUGUUUCUAACAUCGUUUCUGGAAUCAUUUCUUCAGCUAAGACAACGGGUUCCUUGUCAGAUGUACUUGAUCCCUUUGACUUUCUUCGUUUGUUGGGUGGCGGUUCGAUCUCUGGUUCGCCACGGUCGCGUGCUGCUGCCCGAGACCUUGUAACGACGAGGGUUUCCUUGCUGUCUUGAAUGCUUCGCUCCGAGAUGCAUUCUACUGGAAUAACUCUCUU
rnacentral:lncRNA from 1 species